UUAUUAUAUCUAUUUUAUCCAUAAUAUUUAGUAUUGUUUUAUUUAGAUUUUAGUUAUAUUUAUAUUUAUAAUAUUUCCUUUUUGAAUUAUAUUACUACAAUUGCAUAUUUUAUAUUUCAGGAAUGAAUAUUGGAUGGAUUGAGUCUUGGAGCAAAAGAAAGAGGAUUGGAGCUGAUUCGGUGCAGAAAUACGAAUAUUCGGAAGACAAAAUAUGCUAGGCUUGGCACGGCCGUGCCACCUUCCAAUGCCUCUUUUGCUGCUUUUGCUUAGAUUUUAAGCUACUCUAUUUUUAGCCCAAAUGUAAUAGCUUAGAUUUUAAGUCGAAUAAAUGCUAUAAAUAGAGUAGCCAUCCAUCACAAAUAAUCAUCUUUUCUUGGAAUGCAAUAUGUGACAAUUGUCUUUCUAAUAAAAGUUCAUUUUACUUUCUUGCUAUUUACUUUUAUGUUUUCUCUCUUCUUCUCCUUGUCUACAAUGAACGUCAGUGAGUAGACUUCUCUUGUCUUGGGAUUGUUGGAUAAGUCUAAUGACAUAAUCCUAAUCAAACCAAGUUUUAAACCUUAAUCUUAUGUAACCCUAAUUCCUUAUCUAAAUUCACCGCUUUAACAUGGAUCAACCAUUAUCAAACUGUGGAAACGAAAGUGGAGGGUUUGAUAAUUGUUUAUCCAUCAUCUCAAAUAUCAAUUCAUAAAACGAAAGUGGAGCUUUGAUAUUCGAACAAGUGAAUUUAGACAAAGAUUGCAAAGUCAGCGAAUUAGGCUUUGCAAUCUUUGAGACAUAUAGUUUCGAUCUUCAAGGAAACUAAUAACAAUCAAGUCAGCGAAAUAGGCUUGGUUGUUAGAGGAACCAAAAUCUAAUAGUAAUCAAGUCAGCGAAAUAGGCUUGGUUGCUAGAGGAACAAAAGAGAAACUGUCUUGAGAAAUUAGGUCUAACAUAAAGUUAUAAGUUUAAUAGUUUGGUUUGAGAAGGACUUGUCGUUAGGAUGAACCAAUAACCCCAAGGCUUUUAUCUUUUAUUAUAUUAUUUGCUUUUAAUUAAAAACCCAAACUUUUCUAUCUUAUAAACCUUUAGUCUAAUCAUUAUCUAAAGUUGAUUGAAUUCAUAACUCCCUGUCGGAACGAUACUCUUUUCAUACUACUUCGGUAAGACCAUACACUUGCGGUUUUAUCCCAUCAAGUUUUUGGCGCCGCUGCCGGGGAGUUAUUGUAAUUUGAUUAACUUUUUAAUAGUGGUUAGUCUAUAAAAUAAAAAAAUUAAUAAUAUAUAUAUAUAUAUAUAUAUAUAUAUAUAUAUAUAUUUAUAUUUAUAAAAUAUUUUAUUUCCUUUUCUUAUUUUUUUAUUUUUUUAUUUUUAUAAAAUAUUUUAUUUCCUUUUCUUAUCUUUUUAUUUUUUAUUUUUAUUUUAUAUAUAUAUAUAUAUAUAUAUAUAUAUAUAUAUAUAUAUAUAUAUAUCUCCCUUUCUCCUUAUUUUAUUAUUUUAUUUUAUUUUUAUUAUUUCUUAUCUUUAACCGUUCUUAUCUCAGGCAUGACUCAAAACUACUAUCCUUAGGCUCCUUCCCCUGUUUUGCCUCCUUGUUAUGGAAUAUUUGGUCAUGCUGAUCAACUAGGUAGUGUUGUUAGAAGUCCUGAGCAAGUAAACUAUGCUCAAUAUAAUCAAAGGUUUAGGAACGAUCAAUUUUUUCAAACCCCUCAAAAUCUUUUUGGACAACAAACAACACCACCUGAUUUUGAAAAUAACCAAGGAAUCCCUCAAAGAUCCAACUUGGAACUUUUGCUAGAAAAUCUUGUAUUAGAUAACUCUAGGCACAACAAAGAAUUUGAAAUCCAAGCUAGAAAUUUGAAGGACUCUCUCAAUAGGCUUUCCUCAAAAGUAGAUUCUCUUUGUACUCACAACAAAAUGAUAGAGAUUCAAAUCCCUCACGUCGGCCAUCAAGUAGCCUCUCCCUCCCAAACCUCCAUAAUCCUUCCGAGCCAACCUAAGGCUAACCCAAAGGGUCAACCGAAUGAUGUUACACUUAGGGAUGGUAAACAAUUAGAGGUAGAGAGUGAAAAGCCACAAAGUGAGAAAGUUGUGAUAGAAAGUGAAAAGCCUAACAUAUCACCACCUUAUGAGCCAAAAAUUCCUUUCCCACAAGGGUUUGAUGAGUCUAAACUAGAUGAGCAGUUUAGGAAACUUAUUGAAAUCAUUCAAGACAAAUUGCCAUCUAGACUUAAGGAUCCUCUGAGUUUUUCUAAACCAUCUGUCAUAGGAUCCGAGAUUAUAGAAAGAGCCAUGUGUGAUUUGGGGGAUAAUGUCAGUUUGAUGUCAUUGUCCCUUUGUGAAAGAUUGGGUAUAGGAUAGAGAAACCCUUUGACCGUCAAGCUAAUGACUUUAAACGAGCGCUUCGUGGGAGGCAACCCACGCAUUUAAUUGUUUUUGUUUUAUUUGUUUCUUUUUGUUUUAAGUUAUUUUGUAGGUAAUUGUCCAAGAAUGAUUCAAGAAAAAGAAAAUUUUUAAAGUUCCGGUCUCCAGAACCUUGGCACGGCCCGUGCUCACACUGGCAUGGCCGUGCCAGACCUUGCCUCUCCAAAACCAAGCCAAACCCAGGAACUUAGCACGGCCCGUGCCAACCUCAGCACGGCCGUGCCCGACCCCAGGUAAGGUUAAACCUUAUUUUUCUUCCCUCAUUCACCAAACCAACAUCUCUCAUCCUUCCAUCUUCUCUCUAAAACCUUCAUAACAAAAAAAAAAAAAAAACCAUUCCAACCACAACCUUUCAUUCAAAAACCACUUUCAUCCACCCCAUCCAAAAAUCAUCCAAAUUCAUAGCCCUCAUUUACCUCACCCAAAAACCACAAAUUCAUCACCAAUUUCCACAAUCCAACCCCUAAAACUCACUUAAACCUUCUCCCCAUCACUAAACCAACCCUUUCCACUAGCACAUUCCCUAAACACAACCACGCUAAAUCCAACCAAGGUCAAGGCUAUGGCUUCCGAAAGAGGUGGUAAAGAAGUUGUUGCGAGCUCGUCAAGAGGACCUCCCCCAAAGAAGCAAGUUACAACAAAGAAUCUUGGAAUACAAUUCAAGGACAACAAGCAAAGGGAUAGGUAUAAAAUUCUCAUCUCUAAAUCUAUACAUGCUUGUAGAUAUCCUGAUUCUUUUAGCUUGAAUGUAGUAGGCAUUCACGAUAAUGUGUUUAACUUUCUAGGAAGCUAGCAGCAUUCACAACCCUGUGCUUAGGUACCUUCAAAGGGUUAUGGCUUGCACAAUUUGGGGUAGGAUUGAAUUGGGGAACACUAGAACUGAUGAACUCUUCAUGUUGUGGGCUAUGCUUAACAACCACCCCGUUAACACUUACUUUUCCAUGCUUGAUUACUUUUCCCAUCUCGGUAAUAGGUCUAAUGGUAGGGGAGAGAUAGUGGUAGGUGGUAUCAUCAUAUACAUAGUUAGGCAAUUGGGAGUGGGUGAAGACCAAGGGAUUAACAAGAUUGAGGGAAACAAUAGGCUUAACAUAGAGGCCCUUAUCUCUUUGAACUUCAUAAAACCUCGACCACCCAUGGCCUAUACACUUAAACCCAACGUGCCUAUUUUGAUUAUACUUUCUAACCCAUCUCGGACUAACACCGAGGUGGAAGAAAAUUUGUUGUAUGUUGGUGAUAGUUCGCAGGUACAUGAAGAGCACAUUAUUGAAGAGGAAGGUGCACACUUGCACCAAGAAGAGGAUCACCAUGACCAUGAAACCGGAGGAAACAAUGAUAAUAAAAGAUGGACAUGGAUGCAAACCGAGGUUGAAAGGAUAAGCACCGAGCAACUACGGCAAGGUGUUGAAUUAUCGGGACUAAGGAAUGAUGUCCUAAGGGGCAACCGCAUAUCCGAAGAAAAUAACCAAAUGCUUUGGAACAUGAUGCACCAUUUUCACCUCCAAGGUCCUCCCUAUAGAACUCAAUGAAAAAUGUGAGCUUUCCUCUUCCUCUCUUCUCUUACUCCUCCUCCUCCUCCUGCUUCUUCUUCUUCUUCUUCUUCUUCUUCUUCUUCUUCUUCUUCUUCUUCUUCUUCUUCUUUAUUUCUCUUAUUUUGAAUCAUUGAGGACAAUGCUUCUCCUAAGUGUGGGGGGAGCCUAAUAAAGUGUCUUUAGUCGUAGUGUUUUCAAACUCCCUUGAACUUUAUUCUUUUGUUGUGUUUUAAUGUAAAAGGCAUGAAUAAGCAGCUCAUUUUUAUUUUUUUAUUAUGGCAUAAUUUUUUUGUUGUCUCUUCAAUGGUCGUUUCUUGUACAUGAAAGUGAUUUCUUGUGUUAUAAGUAUUCUUGCUAUACCCACAUCAAAUUUUAUUGUGAAAUUAAUUCUCCAAUGAAAAAAGCACCUAGUUGCAAUCCUUGAGUAAGUGUAUGAGUAGGUAUUUUAAGGAACACGUUCUAGCUCUAAUGGUAACCUGGACCCUUAAAAUCUUCAGAGUAAAAGUAGUAUAAGUUUGUGUGGGAAUAAUUCUAAUGUGAUGAAAUGUGUAAACCGAAAUGGGGCGGAAGGAUAUCACCACACGUGGAGGAAAGGAUACCCUCUCACUGACUUCCUAAAUGUGGUGAUGACUUCUCAAACAAAUUGUGCUUGAAUUAAACCCUCUAAAAAGAGGAACUUCCUAAGUGAAGUAAACAAGUUGUAGCACUACUUAGGGUGAUCAUAGAAACUUGGAGCAAAGGAUACCCCCUCACGGACUUCCAAUGUGAAAUGAUAGCCCCUAGGCAUCUACAAGCUCCCAAAUGUAUAAAUUCAUCAAGUCUAUCUUAACUCUCCCACUUCUCUUAUAUGAAAUGAAGAAAAGAUUUUUCUCGGUCAUUUUAGUGUUAAGGUUAGAACCUGUUCCUCAUAAUAUCUAUCUUAUACAGGAGCAAGAAAAGGGUUGGACUACACACACACACUCACUUGAGAUUUGUUGUCGGGUUGAAUAAGUUUACAAGGAAUGCUUGAAGUUGUGAUUAGUGUACAUUGAAAUGAAACCUCGAGGGAGACAUAAGCUUUUAUUUAAGGUGUCAUAUAUUAAUCCUUUUGUUGCUGCCAUGUCUUUGCCUUUUGCUUGAGGACAAGCAAAGAUUCAAGUGUGGGGGAGUUUGAUGAGUCAUUAUUAUAUCUAUUUUAUCCAUAAUAUUUAGUAUUGUUUUAUUUAGAUUUUAGUUAUAUUUAUAUUUAUAAUAUUUCCUUUUUGAAUUAUAUUACUACAAUUGCAUAUUUUAUAUUUCAGGAAUGAAUAUUGGAUGGAUUGAGUCUUGGAGCAAAAGAAAGAGGAUUGGAGCUGAUUCGGUGCAGAAAUACGAAGAUUCGGAAGACAAAAUAUGCUAGGCUUGGCACGGCCGUGCCACCUUCCAAUGCCUCUUUUGCUGCUUUUGCUUAGAUUUUAAGCUACUCUAUUUUUAGCCCAAAUGUAAUAGCUUAGAUUUUAAGUCGAAUAAAUGCUAUAAAUAGAGUAGCCAUCCAUCACAAAUAAUCAUCUUUUCUUGGAAUGCAAUAUGUGACAAUUGUCUUUCUAAUAAAAGUUCAUUUUACUUUCUUGCUAUUUACUUUUAUGUUAUCUCUCUUCUUCUUCUUGUCUACAAUGAACGUCAGUGAGUAGACUUCUCUUGUCUUGGGAUUGUUGGAUAAGUCUAAUGACAUAAUCCUAAUCAAACCAAACUUUAAACCUUAAUCUUAUGUAACCCUAAUUCCUUAUCUAAAUUCACCGCUUUAACAUGGAUCAACCAUUAUCAAACUGUGGAAACGAAAGUGGAGGGUUUGAUAAUUGUUUAUCCAUCAUCUCAAAUAUCAAUUCAUAAAACGAA
rnacentral:lncRNA from 1 species